AGAGUUUGAUCAUGGCUCAGAUUGAACGCUGGCGGUAUGCUUAAGACAUGCAAGUCGUGCGGUAGAAGGCUUCGGCCUUUGAGAGCGGCGGACGGGUGAGUAACACGUGGGAAUCUGCCUAUUAGUGGGGGACAGCCCAGCGAAAGCUGGAUUAAUACCGCAUACGCCCUACGGGGGAAAGCAGCAAUGCGCUAAUAGAUGAGCCCGCGUAAGAUUAGCUAGUUGGUAAGGUAAAGGCUUACCAAGGCGACGAUCUUUAGCUGGUCUGAGAGGAUGGCCAGCCACAUCGGGACUGAGACACGGCCCGGACUCCUACGGGAGGCAGCAGUCGGGAAUAUUGGACAAUGGGCGCAAGCCUGAUCCAGCAAUACCGCGUGUGUGAAGAAGGCCUGCGGGUUGUAAAGCACUUUCAGUUGGGAAGAUAAUGACGUUACCAACAGAAGAAGCACCGGCUAACUCCGUGCCAGCGGCCGCGGUAAUACGGAGGGUGCAAGCGUUAAUCGGAAUUACUGGGCGUAAAGCGUGCGUAGGCGGCCUGUUAAGUCAGAUGUGAAAGCCCCGGGCUUAACCUGGGAACUGCAUCUGAUACUGGGAGGCUAGAAUGUGGGAGAGGAGAGUGGAAUUUCCGGUGUAGCGGUGAAAUGCAUAGAGAUCGGAAGGAACACCAGUGGCGAAGGCGGCUCUCUGGACCAACAUUGACGCUGAGGCACGAAAGCGUGGGUAGCAAACAGGAUUAGAUACCCUGGUAGUCCACGCCGUAAACGAUGUCAACUAGCCGCCGGCCUCACUCUAGAGGUCGGUGGUGCAGCUAACGCAUUAAGUUGACCGCCUGGGGAGUACGGCCGCAAGGUUGAAACUCAAAGGAAUUGACGGGGGCCCGCACAAGCGGUGGAGCAUGUGGUUUAAUUCGAUGCAACGCGAAGAACCUUACCUGGUCUUGACAUGUAGUGAACUUAGCAGAAAUGUUUUGGUGCCUUCGGGAGCGCAGAGACAGGUGCUGCAUGGCUGUCGUCAGCUCGUGUCGUGAGAUGUUGGGUUAAGUCCCGCAACGAGCGCAACCCUUGUCCUUAGUUGCCAGCACGUAAUGGUGGGAACUCUAAGGAGACCGCCGGUGACAAACCGGAGGAAGGUGGGGACGACGUCAAGUCAUCAUGGCCCUUAUGACCAGGGCUACACACGUGCUACAAUGGUCGGUACAAAGGGUUGCCAAACCGCGAGGUGGAGCCAAUCCCAUAAAACCGAUCGUAGUCCGGAUUGGAGUCUGCAACUCGACUCCAUGAAGUCGGAAUCGCUAGUAAUCGUAGAUCAGCAUUGCUACGGUGAAUACGUUCCCGGGCCUUGUACACACCGCCCGUCACACCAUGGGAGUUUGUUGCACCAGAAGCAGGUAGCUUAACCGUAAGGAGGGCGCUUGCCACGGUGUGGCCGAUGACUGGGGUGAAGUCGUAACAAGGUAGCCAAGGGCGAA
rnacentral:rRNA from 1 species